AAAAAGGCAAACCAUAGAUUUUUAUGCCAACGUUUGACUGUCCGUCUUAUAUGAAAAUUUUUUAUAAUUAGUAUUUUCAUUGUUAUUAAAUGAUAAAACAUGAUUAAUACUUUAUGCGUGACUUAUCUUAUUAAUUUUUUUCGUAUUUUUUUCAAAUAAGACGGACGGUCAAACGUUGGACACGGAAACCAGGGUUUGUCUUUUU
rfam:Oryza glaberrima chromosome 8 Oglab08_0035_6, whole genome shotgun sequence.